rnacentral:rRNA from 1 species
AUCGUGGCGGGUAUCUGAUGCAGCACGCCGCGUGGAGGAUGACGCAUUUCGGUGUGUAAACUCCUUUUAUGAGUCAAGAAAAUGACGGUAGCUCAUGAAUAAGCACCGGCUAACUCCGUGCCAGCAGCCGCGGUAAUACGGAGGGUGCAAGCGUUACUCGGAAUCACUGGGCGUAAAGGACACGUAGGCGGGUUGGAAAGUCAGAUGUGAAAUCCUACAGCUUAACUGUAGAACUGCAUUUGAAACUUCCAACCUAGAGUAUGGGAGGGGGAGAUGGAAUUAGUGGUGUAGGGGUAAAAUCCGUAGAUAUCACUAGGAAUACCCAAAGCGAAGGCGAUCUCCUGGAACAUUACUGACGCUAAGGUGUGAAAGCGUGGGGAGCAAAUGGGAUUAGAUACCCCCGUAGUCAACA